GACAGAGGGGGCAAGCGUUGUCCGGAUUUACUGGGCGUACAGCGCGCGCAGACGGUUAGGGCCGUGCCCUGUGACAAGCCACCGCUCACCGGUGGAGGGCCAGGGUACACGACCUGACUGGAGGCAGGGAGAGGGAUGUGGAAUGCCCGGUGGAGCGGUGAAAUGCGUAGAGAUCGGGCGGAACACCAGCGGCGAAGGCGGCAUCCUGGUCCUGUCCUGACGUUGAGGCGCGAGAGCGUGGGGAGCGAACUGG
rnacentral:rRNA from 1 species